AGGCCUAACACAUGCAAGUCGAGCGCCCCGCAAGGGGAGCGGCAGACGGGAGAGUAACACGUGGGAACGUACCCUUCAGUUCGGAACAACCCCAGGGAAACUUGGGCUAAUACCGAAUACGUCCGUAAGGAGAAAGAUUUAUCGCUGAAGGAUCGGCCCGCGUCUGAUUAGCUAGUUGGUGGGGUAACGGCCCACCAAGGCUACGAUCAGUAGCUGGUCUGAGAGGAUGAUCAG
rnacentral:rRNA from 1 species